GAGCUAGUUGGUGGCAGGUUAAAUUGGCCAGUUGCUGGAGCUAAAGGUGGAUUUUGCUUUUAGCUCAGAGAGUGAGCUCUGAAGAAACAGUAUUAGGGAUCUGUGAAUCCCACAGAUCAUAUGAGCGCCGUUGAGAAGUCAGCCAUGGACACAGGAAGAAAGGAAAGAACUUCAGUGGGAGUUUACCCGAGUGAGGAAUCAAGCCUGGACUCUAUGCAUGCAGUUUCUGUACUAGUUUAAUGAAGUAUGGGAAUUGAUAGAAUGUGUUAGAAACUUCAGACGUCUUACUUCCUCUGCCUGCCCCAUCCAGGUCUCAUCCCACCUUUUCCAAGUCAUUAUCCAAGAAGUGUCAGAGAAAGCCCAAGCAUCCCUUUUGCUCCCACUUUUGCUUUGGGGGAGGUGGAUGGGGGGGAAACAGGAACACUGCACAAGAUUCACGCAUUCCCCUUGGAUGAGUCUGAACUAAUUUAUCCAUUGACUCUGUGAUCAGUUAGAAAUCAACAGCAUGUGUGAAACUGCUGAUCACUUUUCUAUUCUUCAUACAACUGGAAAAUUUGAUUUGGCCAACCUCGCAUUACAGAGAUACAUGCUCUCCAUGGGCUGAGUGGAAUACUAGGCAGUCAUGACAGUACCAGCCAUCAUCUCCAGAGACCUUUAAUCCCUGACAAAUCUUUUCUUCUUGAAAGUAACUGUGGGUGGUCUCCCUUUUUUCUAAUUUCAGUAACUUUGGUACAUCACUUUCUAGUUAUGCAGCUGAUGCUCAUGUUUGUAUGAAUAGCUAUUAAAAAAAAAGGAAAGAUCAGA